rnacentral:rRNA from 1 species
UACGUAGGGUGCAAGCGUUGUCCGGAAUUAUUGGGCGUAAAGAGCUUGUAGGCGGCUUGUUGCGUCGACUGUGAAAACCCGCGGCUUAACCGCGGGCUUGCAGUUGAUACGGGCAGGCUAGAGUUCGGUAGGGGAGACUGGAAUUCCUGGUGUAGCGGUGAAAUGCGCAGAUAUCAGGAGGAACACCUAUGGCGAAGGCAGCUCUCUGGUACGUGACUGACGCUGAGACGCGAAAGCGUGGGGAGCAAACAGG